rnacentral:rRNA from 1 species
CGUAGGUGGCGAGCGUUGUCCGGAAUUAUUGGGACGUAAAGGGAGCGCAGGCGGGAAAGGUAGGUCUAUCUUAAAAGUGCGGGGCUCAACCCCGGUGAGGGGAUGGAAACUAUCUUUCUUGAGUGCAGGAGAGGAAAGCGGAAUUCCUAGUGUAGCGGUGAAAUGCGUAGAUAUUAGGAGGAACACCAGUGGCGAAGGCGGCUUUCUGGACUGUAACUGACGCUGAGGCUCGAAAGCGUGGGGAGCGA